rnacentral:misc_RNA from 1 species
CAACCAUCAAGCCCUGCUUGUGUUGGGGCCCUGCGGCUGCCCGCAGGCCCUGAAAACCAGUGGCGGGCUCGCUAGUCACACCGAGUGCAGUAGCACAUCUCGCUUUGGUCGUGCGGCGGGUUCUUGCCGUAAAACACCCCCUUUAUCAA